rnacentral:sRNA from 1 species
UUCCCUAAACUAUACCCAACCUCGCCCACCUCGCGCGACGAUGUCUCUUCUUGACGUCAGCCUCACUCACCUUGCCAUCACCACCGCGAGCUUCCCCUCGCCGUCUCCAUAGCCCACCUCGAUUCGCCGUCUCAACCACCACCUCAACACCUACCACGAGAUCUUCCAGGUGUUGGAUCAUUGUACCUUCAACACUCGAGAAGGUGAUACGGGUUGAGGUCGUAAAGAUGGGCAUUUGAAUUCUGAUUCGCGCUUUAUGGACUUUACAAAUAGGAAGAUGAGGAGACAAUAAGAAGUACAAAAGGAUGCAUUUGGCUCCCAUUUUUGAGGUUAAUUCCAUGAGCAGGUACCCUGCAAUUAACAAACCAGUUGGAGUUGUGCACUGGCUUAAGCACAGUAGAUGCUGAGAAUGUUAAUGGGGUUGUGAUUGUGGAUGCUGACAUGAUUAUUCGAGGGCCGAUUGUUCCUUGGGAACUUGGUGCUGAGAAUGGCAAGGCUCUUCUUGCAUCAUAUUUUUUCCUUUCAUGUAAAUGAUACUAGAUUUUGGUUGAGACCAGAUUGUAUAAGACAAGAGCAUUGUGAGUGUCAUAUAUUUCCAUUUGAGCGUUUGUACCUUUAGUACGCGUCAGGUUUUCAAUUGAUUUCAUGGAAAUUUGUGUAUAUAGCGUUGUAAACCCCAUCGUUGAACACCUAAGAUGGUUGUACG